GCCUAUAGCUCAGUUGGUAGAGCAGCGGACUUUUAAUCCGUGGGUCGAGGGGUCGAGCCCCUCUGGG
rnacentral:tRNA from 1 species